CAAAAGUCCUUGGCCAUGCUGAGAAUUACAGACUCAUAACCUGUGGAGCUUCAAGAGGCCAACCUGCUUAGUCUCCUACCUUCAGGAGAAGGAUAUGGACAUAUGGAUUCCGUAUGAAGAAUUAAUUAAUUAUAACACCAACAGUCCUAACUUACUCAUUGGUGCCAGAUACUGCUGACUUCCUGGCACACAAAGUGCAGAUAAAUAUGUAAGGAUAGAAAUGAACUGAACCCUGUUUCCAGUCACAACUGGUAGGAAGCAGAAGAUCAAAU